rnacentral:rRNA from 1 species
CCCAGACUCCUACGGGAGGCAGCAGUGGGGGAUAUUGCACAAUGGGGGAAACCCUGAUGCAGCGAUGCCGCGUGAGUGAAGACGGCCUUCGGGUUGUAAAGCUCUGUCGCAGAGGACGAAAAUGACGGUACUCUGCAAGAAAGCUCCGGCUAACUACGUGCCAGCAGCCGCGGUAAUACGUAGGGAGCGAGCGUUGUCCGGAAUUACUGGGUGUAAAGGGAGCGUAGGCGGGGAUGCAAGUUGGGUGUUAAAUCUACCGGCUCAACUGGUAGUCGCACUCAAAACUGCAGCUCUUGAGUGAAGUAGAGGCAGGCGGAAUUCCUAGUGUAGCGGUGAAAUGCGUAGAUAUUAGGAGGAACACCAGUGGCGAAGGCGGCCUGCUGGGCUUUUACUGACGCUGAGGCUCGAAAGUGUGGGGAGCAAACAGGAUUAGAUACCCCCGUAU